rnacentral:rRNA from 1 species
GGAGGGUGCGAGCGUUGUUCGGAAUCACUGGGCGUAAAGGGCGUGUAGGCGGUCUGUUAAGUCUGAUGUGAAAGCCCGGGGCUCACCCCCGGAAGUGCAUUGGAUACUGGCGGACUCGAGUCUCGGAGAGGAGGGUGGAAUUCCUGGUGUAGCGGUGAAAUGCGUAGAUAUCAGGAGGAACACCGGUGGCGAAGGCGGCCCUCUGGACGAUGACUGACGCUGAGACGCGAAAGCGUGGGGAGCAAACAGGAUUAGAUACCCUGGUAGUCCACGCUGUAAACGAUGAGCACUAGGUGUCGUGGGUAUUGACCCCCGCGGUGCCGCAGCUAACGCAUUAAGUGCUCCGCCUGGGGACUACGGCCGCAAGGUUA